GGAUCUACAAAGUACGGGCUGGAGUGUGAGAGGACGUGUAACUGUUUGGACAAGAACCAGACGUGUUUUUGUGGCUACAGGCGCCUGCAGGUCGGGCUGUGCUCUAGGAUACCACGGGGAGGACUGCUCACUAGUGUGUGAUGCCACAUUCUAUGGAUCCAACUGUGAACAGAGAUGUUCAUCCAACUGUGACCAGCAACUGUGUGCACCUGUAGAUGGCACCUGCUACAGGUGUCCUGUGGGGAGGGUGGGGCCCUUCUGUGAACCGUGUCCAGCAACAUUCUACGGACAGGCCUGUCUACAGCCCUGCAGCAGCAACUGUUCUGGUCAAGUAUGUGAUGACGUCACCGGCUCGUGUGUCCAAUGUCUGUCGGGGUGGAUGGGGGAGUUUUGUGAUCAGGCAUGUGAUGACACCAAUUGGGGACCCGGUUGUAACAAUGUGUGCUCGCCCAACUGUCUUGAUUCAAAAUGUGACGUCACCAACGGCUAUUGUUUGAAGUGUAAGCCACAUUUGACUGGACCUUACUGUGAUGAAGGGUUAGACAGAUUUACCGACGGGAUUGGAGUUGGUGUGGGUAUCGGCAUUGGCGUCAUGUCGUUUAUUGCUCUCAUCACUGUGGCCAUUUUCUGUUUGAUCCGACGUUACAAGGACACGUCAGCAGAUGGGAGUGGUCUACACGAUGUGUCGGCCAUGUAUGGUGGCACAUCAGGUGGAGCUAUAGA